UACGUAGGGUGCAAGCGUUAAUCGGAAUUACUGGGCGUAAAGCGUGCGCAGGCGGUGAUGUAAGACAGUUGUGAAAUCCCCGGGCUCAACCUGGGAACUGCAUCUGUGACUGCAUCGCUGGAGUACGGUAGAGGGGAUGGAAUUCCGCGUGUAGCAGUGAAAUGCGUAGAUAUGCGGAGGAACACCGAUGGCGAAGGCAAUCCCCUGGACCUGUACUGACGCUCAUGCACGAAAGCGUGGGGAGCAACAGG
rnacentral:rRNA from 1 species